CAAACCUAUAUCCAUUUCAGUUGUUUUUAGCGCUUAAGUUGGAUUAUCCAUGGCCAUACGGGUUUGAACUGAUUUGUCUCAACUGCCUCCCUCCACUCACAUGUAUUUUAUCUUACCAUCAGUUUGAAAUUCAAAUUCUUUGAUUCGUGGAGGCCUGAUUUUGACACAUUUCAAUCCUAUACUCGGUUGCAACACAUUCCGGUGGCGUCCUUGAUCAAACACAGGUCCCUUCUGGCUUCUUCGUCGACAUGCCCGGCAGUGAAGUGUGAACGCACUCCGAACGGUCCUGUGUCUCCUCCUUCCGUCAGUAAUGGAUGUAAGCGGGUUGCUCUGGGGCUUUUCUCGCCUAAUUCAAAGCAAACUGGAAGUGUUUGGCAUCCUCCCUCGCAUAGAAGAUAGUUGUAUAUAAAUCUUCUAAUUAUUAAAAUACAAACCCACAGGUAUGUAUAAUUGUAUUAUCAAUUUUCAACUUGCUUCAAUCUCCUCCUUUAUGAUAUAUUAUUAUUAUUAUUAUUAUUAUUAUUAUUAUUAUUGAUUGCUAAAUUUUCUUCCAUUUAUGAUUUGAUAUGCACUAUUCCAUCUUAGUGUUUGAUAAAAUGCACCAAUGAAGAAAUUUACUUCCGCAUUCAAAAUAUCUUCGAACAAAUGUGCUCGAUCAGAUUUAUUAGCAGGUAUACAUGUUUGUUUCUCAAAAUUUUUUCUUCACUUGAUUAUUCACGGUCUUAAGUAUUUAUAUCACUGAGCUUUCUUGGGUUUUUCACAGUAUUUAACAUGGAUUUGCACCAAUGGUCAACCGUGCGAUUGAUGUUUCAAUGAGAUAUUCUAUGUUUUGCUUUCCUGAGGUUUUCUAGGAUACAGUAUAAUGUGGCAUUCUGGCUUACUGUUUGUUCAUUUACAGAUAUCAUCUCGUGUUAAUGGAUGCAACAGGUUAAUUAAACUAUGGAUAGUUGCUUAUUGUUUGGUCACAAGAUCUGGAUGGAAGAGGACAGUGCUUGGACCUUAAUGAGAGAAAGAAAAAGAUGGAAGGAGAAGAAACAUGAUCUCUCUGGCUUUGCAAAUCAUUCUACAAUAUUUCAGUUAUUAUCCCAAGACUAAGCAAGCAAGAUAUGAUUGAACUGGGGAGAUGUUUCAGGUUGCUGUGAGUUGUAGUGAUUGGGAAUACAUGGCUUGCUGUAUGAUAUUCACACAAGGUCCUUCCAUUACCGGAAGUGCUACAGCUACAACAUACAUGUCAAGAGUUGAUGCAAGUUACUCAAAUUUCAUCUUAGUGCAUUCGAAUCCCGACAUUCGAAUGACAGGUUUUACGGCAUGCUGAUCUUGCAGAGUAGCCAGGCAGACAUCAGGGAAGUAAACCAGCGGCCAUGAAAUCUUGACAAUAUCCACGGUUACAGGUUUAUGAUUUAGCUAUGCAUAAAAAGUACUUCUUAAAUUGCAUUUUCAAUGAGGCCAAUUUAAACACAUAAGGUGCUGAUAGUUCUUUAAAUGUCAUUGUCAUCUUGCUGUCACAUGUUUCUACAUAUACGCUGUUAGAAAAGUUUAUAGAUGAAGGUUGGAAACUAAAAUAAGUCUCAGCUCUCAAGAUUAUUGGCCAUGAUUUCUCCUCUAUUACUUAAGUUGGAUUUCAGGAAACGUGUUAUUCUUUAGUGCCAAAGAUUUGCUUAUAGUUUCUUAUAUUGGUAGAACUCUAACAUGAUCGAGAUCAUGCUUGGACUUGGAUUUGGGCUUUCUCUACUCAAAUCUAUGUGAACAUGUAGAAAUCUAAGCAAACCCGGAUGACUUGGAUGAUGCAGGCAUGGGAAUGAAGACAUUGUUGGGGUGAACCAUGGUGCUCAAGGAAAAGGAUGAUAGAAGAUUUUGAAAAUUCAUUACAUGAUUAUAAUGUAUGAUUUCAUUUUACUUUUAUUUUGUUAUGGACAAAUCACAAAAGGCAAGCAAAACAAUGAAUAAAAAGAGUGUUUUUUUUUUUGCUAAAUUAAAUCAAAGUUGUGUUGAA